rnacentral:rRNA from 1 species
AACGAACGCUGGCGGCAUGCCUAACACAUGCAAGUCGAACGAGAUCUUCGGAUCUAGUGGCGCACGGGUGCGUAACGCGUGGGAAUCUGCCCUUGGGUUCGGAAUAACAGUGAGAAAUUACUGCUAAUACCGGAUGAUGUCUUCGGACCAAAGAUUUAUUGCCCAGGGAUGAGCCCGCGUAGGAUUAGCUAGUUGGUGGGGUAAUGGCCUACCAAGGAGACGAUCCUUAGCUGGUCUGAGAGGAUGAUCAGCCACACUGGGACUGAGACACGGCCCAGACUCCUACGGGAGGCAGCAGUGGGGAAUAUUGGACAAUGUGCGAAAGCCUGAUCCAGCAAUGCCGCGUGAGAGAUGAAGGCCUUAGGGUUGUAAAGCUCUUUUACCAGGGAUGAUAAUGACAGUACCUGGAGAAUAAGCUCCGGCUAACUCCGUGCCAGCCGCCGCAGUAA